GCUGAACGCUGGCGGCGUGCCUAAUACAUGCAAGUCGAGCGAACAGAUGAGGAGCUUGCUCCUCUGACGUUAGCGGCGGACGGGUGAGUAACACGUGGAUAACCUACCUAUAAGACUGGGAUAACUUCGGGAAACCGGAGCUAAUACCGGAUAAUAUAUUGAACCGCAUGGUUCAAUAGUGAAAGACGGUUUUGCUGUCACUUAUAGAUGGAUCCGCGCCGCAUUAGCUAGUUGGUAAGGUAACGGCUUACCAAGGCAACGAUGCGUAGCCGACCUGAGAGGGUGAUCGGCCACACUGGAACUGAGACACGGUCCAGACUCCUACGGGAGGCAGCAGUAGGGAAUCUUCCGCAAUGGGCGAAAGCCUGACGGAGCAACGCCGCGUGAGUGAUGAAGGUCUUCGGAUCGUAAAACUCUGUUAUUAGGGAAGAACAAAUGUGUAAGUAACUAUGCACGUCUUGACGGUACCUAAUCAGAAAGCCACGGCUAACUACGU
rnacentral:rRNA from 1 species